rnacentral:rRNA from 1 species
UUGGAUAUCACAGCUACAAGCAUGCCCAGUGAUCUCAGCCAGUGAAUCAUGAAACACUACGACCUAGAAAAGUCUCAAAUUGUUAUACCAGAUAGAGGCAAAAUACCAGUAGAUGCAGAAAGUGUUAGGAGGAUAUGGGGUUUGCCCAAUAGUGGCAGGAAAGUAUGUUUUGAAAUGAAUCUAGAUUUAUAA